GAUGAACGCUGGCGGCGUGCUUAACACAUGCAAGUCGAACGAACCUUUUCGGAGGUGAGUGGCGGACGGGUGAGUAACGCGUGAGGAUCUGCCCAAAGGACGGGGACAACAGUUAGAAAUGGCUGCUAAAACCCGAUGUGCCGAGAGGUGAAAUAUUUAUAGCCUUUGGAUGAACUCGCGUCUGAUUAGCUAGUUGGUGGAGUAAUGGUUUACCAAGGCGACGAUCAAUAGCUGUUCUGAGAGGAAGAUCAGCCACACUGGGACCGAGACACGGCCCAG
rnacentral:rRNA from 1 species